rnacentral:rRNA from 1 species
CAGUAGCCACGGGAAUACGUAGGUGGCAAGCGUUGUCCGGAAUUAUUGGGCGUAAAGGGCUCGCAGGCGGUUUCUUAAGUCUGAUGUGAAAGCCCCCGGCUCGACCGGGGAGGGUCAUUGGAAACUGGGAAACUUGAGUGCAGAAGAGGAGAGUGGAAUUCCACGUGUAGCGGUGAAAUGCGUAGAGAUGUGGAGGAACACCAGUGGCGAAGGCGACUCUCUGGUCUGUAACUGACGCUGAGGAGCGAAAGCGUGGGGAGCGAACAGGAUUAGAUACCCCCGUAGUCCCUGUCUCUUAUAC